AUUGAACGCUGGCGGAAUGCUUUACACAUGCAAGUCGAACGGUAGAGGGGGCAACCCCUUGAGAGUGGCGAACGGGUGAGUAAUAUAUCGGAACGUGCCCAGUCGUGGGGAUAACGUAGCGAAAGCUACGCUAAUACCGCAUACGAUCUAUGGAUGAAAGCGGGGGAUCGCAAGACCUCGCGCGAUUGGAGCGGCCGAUAUCAGAUUAGGUAGUUGGUGAGGUAAAGGCUCACCAAGCCGACGAUCUGUAGCUGGUCUGAGAGGACGACCAGCCACACUGGGACUGAGACACGGCCCAGACUCCUACGGGAGGCAGCAGUGGGGAAUUUUGGACAAUGGGCGCAAGCCUGAUCCAGCAAUGCCGCGUGCACGGAUGAAGGCCUUCGGUUGGUAAAC
rnacentral:rRNA from 1 species